rfam:Candidatus Doudnabacteria bacterium RIFCSPLOWO2_01_FTLL_44_21 rifcsplowo2_01_scaffold_13156, whole genome shotgun sequence.
CCGCGUGUUUCAAGGGCUGUGGCACGACCUGAUCCCAUCCCGAACUCAGAAGUCAAACGCAGCACCGCUGAUGAUACUCCAGUGUAAGACUGGUGGGAAAGUAAGCAAUGCGCGGU